UACGUAGGGUGCAAGCGUUGUCCGGAAUUAUUGGGCGUAAAGAGCUCGUAGGCGGUUUGUCGCGUCUGCUGUGAAAUCCCGAGGCUCAACCUCGGGCCUGCAGUGGGUACGGGCAGACUAGAGUGCGGUAGGGGAGAUUGGAAUUCCUGGUGUAGCGGUGGAAUGCGCAGAUAUCAGGAGGAACACCGAUGGCGAAGGCAGAUCUCUGGGCCAUUACUGACACUGAGAAGCGAAAGCAUGGGGAGCGAACAGG
rnacentral:rRNA from 1 species